ACACACACACCUCUUUCUCUUUUCUCGAUUGAUUUUUGAUCAGAGAGGAGUUCAACAAUCUCCCUCUCCUCAACCACCUGUCACAUCCCUCUUUCUGCCUGACAUUUGAAGAGCACGAGGAAGAGGAGGAUGAGGAAGGAAGAGGAAGAUGAGAGGAAAGAGGGAGGAUGGCUUUUUCAGGCUUUUCAGGGAAAAUAAGAGAAAUAUUGAGGCUUUGCCCUUUAGCAGAUACACCAGAUAUCAGUUUCUUCAAACAGCCAGUAAUUAUCAUUGAGCUACAAGAAACUAUGGCACCAUACUGGCUCUAUUAUUGGCUCUAUUGUUCUGACUGAUCAUCAGAUGUUUCAAGUACGGAAUGUUUUGUGUGAAGCAAGACUAAACAGCCUUAAAGCAUUAAAUCCUUAUGUGACGAUUUUAACUAUACAACUUCCCACCAAUCACAACAUUGACUUCAUUUUAAAGUCUGGUGAUUUUAAACGUUUUGUUUAAAGGUUUCUUCCUGCAACUCAAACCUUCACAGUCAUUUGGAGGAUGAGUAUCGUAGCUACCUGCAACUUGUGCCAUGAAUAACAACCAUAACAUAAACUGAAGUCAGCUGAUGGCCAAAUGUUUGUUUCGUUCCCCUGUUCAUUUAACCUUUAUGGUGGCAUUUAAAGACAGAGACAAAUGGACAGGGAUAAUCUUUAAAAGGUGAAGAGACCAUUACAUCAUCACCAUUACUAUCCUCCCCUAUAAGAGACCAUUACUAUCCUCCCCUAUAAGAGACCAUUACUAUCCUCCCCCAUCAGAGACCAUUACUAUCAUCACCAUUACUAUCCUCCCCCAUUAGAGACCAUUACUAUCCUCCCCUAUAAGAGGCCAUUACUAUCCUCCCCUAUAAGAGACCAUUACUAUCCUCCCCUAUAAGAGACCAUUAAUAUCCUCCCCCAUCAGAGACCAUUACUAUCAUCACCAUUACUAUCCUCCCCCAUCAGAGACCAUUUCUAUCCUCCCCUAUAAGAGACCAUUACUAUCCUCCCCAUUACUAUCCUUCCCUAUAAGAGACCAUUCCUAUCCUCACCAUUACUAUCCUCCUCCAUAAGAGACCAUUACUAUCCCCCCCUGUAAGAGACCAUUACUAUCCUCCCCUAUAAGAGACCAUUACUAUCCUCCUCCAAAAGAGACCAUUACUAUCCUCCUCCAUAAGAUACCAUUACUAUCCUCCCCUAUAAGGGACCAUUACUAUCCUCACCAUUACUAUCCUCCUCCAUAAGAGACCAUUACUAUCCUCCCCCAUAAGAGACCAUUACUAUCCUCCCCUAUCAUCAGCAUUACUAUCCUCACCAUUACUAUCCUCCUCCAUAAGAAACCAUUACUAUCCUUCCCUAUAAGAGACCAUUACUAUCCUCCCCCAUUAGAGACCAUUACUAUCCUCCCCCAUAACAGACCAUUACUAUCCUCCCCUAUAAGAGACCAUUACUAUCCUCCCCUAUAAGAGACGAUAACUAUCAUCACCAUUACUAUCCCUGCCAUUACUAUCCUCCCCCAUAAGAGACCAUUACUAUCCUCCCCCAUAAGAGACUAUUACUAUCCUCCCCUAUAAGAGACCAUUACCAUCCUCCCCAUUAGAGACCAUUACUAUCCUCCCCCAUUAGAGACCAUUACUAUCCUCCCCCAUAAGAGACCAUUACUAUCCUCCUCCAUAAGAAACCAUUACUAUCCUUCCCUAUAAGAGACCAUUACUAUCCUCCCCCAUUAGAGACCAUUACUAUCCUCCCCCAUAAGAGACCAUUACUAUCCUCCUCCAUAAGAAACCAUUACUAUCCUUCCCUAUAAGAGACCAUUACUAUCCUCCCCCAUUAGAGACCAUUACUAUCCUCCCCAUAAGAGACCAUUACUAUCCUCCCCUAUAAGAGACCAUUACUAUCCUCCCCAUUAGAGACC
ensembl:lncRNA